rnacentral:rRNA from 1 species
UACAGAGGUCCCAAGCGUUGUUCGGAUUCACUGGGCGUAAAGGGUGCGUAGGCGGUCGGGUAAGUCUGAUGUGAAAUCUCACAGCUUAACUGUGAAACUGCAUUGGAUACUAUCCGGCUCGAGGAAUGGAGGGGAGACUGGAAUACUUGGUGUAGCAGUGAAAUGCGUAGAUAUCAGGAGGAACACCUGUGGCGAAAGCGGCUCACUGGACCACAACUGACGCUGAGGCGCGAAAGCUAGGGGAGCAAACAGG